AAGCGGUUCCUUCUCAGCUUUGCUGGCUUCCAGAUGAAACAGCCUGAACACACUCAGUUGAAUCUGUAUGGGAAAGUGUUGUGAGGAUCUGUGACAUGGAUAUACACGCGGUGAUGUUAUUAUUCCUGCUUACAGAGAUCCGUUCAUCGUGGUGUCAUCGAGCUCUGCAGCCUUUUAUGCCAAAUGUCUGCUCAGCACAAGAGAGAAUCAUCACAGCUGAGAAACAGACAUGUGUACUGGCUUUUACACGUAUGUUGAAGGUUUGGAGGCAAGGAUGCACAGGUCAUGCUUGGUGUAUGGACUAUGAGAGGAGGACUGCUUACUACAUAGGCUACAGGCAGGUAUACAGACAAGAUUUUAAGACUACAUUCAAAUGCUGUCCUGGAUGGUCCCAGCUCAAUGCAGAGGCAGGCUGCCUCUAUC